GAUGAACGCUAGCGGGAGGCUUAACACAUGCAAGUCGAGGGGCAGCACGAGGUAGCAAUACUUUGGUGGCGACCGGCGCACGGGUGAGUAACGCGUAUGCAACCUACCCUGUACAGGGGGAUAACCCGGAGAAAUUCGGACUAAUACCCCAUAAAGAUAUUUUGAGGCAUCUUAAGAUAUUUAAAGUUCCGGCGGUAAGGGAUGGGCAUGCGUAACAUUAGCUAGUUGGUAAGGUAACGGCUUACCAAGGCAACGAUGUUUAGGGGUCCUGAGAGGGUGAUCCCCCACACUGGUACUGAGACACGGACCAGACUCCUACGGGAGGCAGCAGUGAGGAAUAUUGGUCAAUGGGCGCAAGCCUGAACCAGCCAUCCCGCGUGAAGGAAGAAUGCGCUAUGCGUUGUAAACUUCUUUUCCAGGGGAAUAAAAUUUUGUACGAGUACGGAAUUGAAGGUACCCUGGGAAUAAGCAUCGGCUAACUCCGUGCCAGCAGCCGCAGUAACAC
rnacentral:rRNA from 1 species